UAUCCAGUUUUUUUGUCACCCAGAUUCCUUUUGGGCCCAAUUUUCUUUCACCAAGAAGGGUCGUUCUCUCUUCCCCUCUUUUUUUCUCUUCUCUUCGCAGCCGCACCGCAUCGCGUCGCAUCGCUUAUUCGAUUGCGUUGCCUCUCUUGCGCUUUCUCUUUUAAUAUCCAAUUUCAUCACCUUCAUCGCAUCGGUAAGCCUUUUCAAUCUCCCUAUCAAUCUUCAAAGCCUCUUCCUAAAUUUCUAGGGUUUCAAUUCUAAUCCUCUUUUUUCCUUCUAACUUUAUUUCAACUCAUAGUGUUUCUAUUUAGCCUUGUCUCGUGAUCUCCAAUCGCCUUCAGAUCUUUCACGAUUUCUUCUUUAGUUUUGAAAUUCCACGUAUUUGUUGUAUUUUGGGUUUAGGGUUCUAUAAAACAAAAAAGAAAAAAAGAAAAAAAAUACAAAGUCGUUCCGAAGGGGGAUUAGGGUUUUCCCUUGUGAUUCACGCAUUUAGGUAGCUAGAGAUAUAUGGCGGCUGGGAGACAUGGCGGUUACCGCGAAAACGACUUCAGAGAGCGCGAAUCGAAACUCGAAGGUUCUAGACGCGGGCUUGCCAAUUCGAAAGAGGAUUACGAUCGUGUUAGGAAUGGUGGCGGUGAUGUUGUGAGGGGAGGGUCCAGGGACAGGGUUAGGGUGAGGCAGAGGGAUAUUAAGGAGAGGGAAGGUGUUAAUGGUGGGUACCGAUCAUCUUCGAGUAGGAGUGACUCUGGCAGCAGUGGCCUUGGUCCUCGCCGAUGUGGUUUCUCUAUCAAAGCAAUGGAUAGAGAGCCUGGUGAGCUUUCCAGUGAGAGUGGUUCUGAUGAUGCAAUUGAGUCAGAAUCUAGGGCGAAAGACUCCGAGGUUUCCAUGUUGGAAGAAACAAGAACCCGAUCCCCACCGGUGCCGGACAGGAAAAGAAAAUUCUCGCCCAUAGUGUGGGAUCAGGAUGACAAAGAUGUCAGUGAGUCAUCCAGAGUUAGGGUUUCUGCCUCUACGGUGGUGACAGCAGCACUUCCUCCUCCGCCUCCAUUGCCAAAGGUAUUCCAUCAGUCACCGUCACCAAAUGCUCCAAAUGGUGUUGUACAAAUACAUCCUGUCAAGAACAAGGAGACCGAGGAUCUCCAGUUGAAUGCAGCAUCUAAGAUUACCUUGCCCUCUCCUUCUGGUUUGCAUUCAUCACCUCCGAAAGGGAGGUGGGGUAAUGAUCAGGAAACUGAUCAUCUAGAAGGUGAAGUUUAUGUUCCAGCUCGCAAUAUAUCGUCUUCAAGAUGGGCAGCUGGAGAUAACUCUCCUGGUGAUGAGGGUGAGAUCCUCAAUGAUGAGGAGAUGCCCAAACGAAGGAGGAAGGCGUCUCCUGAGUUCUUGGAUGGCAGACCAAGGAACAAGUUAUUGAGCCCUGUGGAAUCCAAGAUUGAAGGUAUUGAAGGAGCUAGAGCCAGAUCAUCUGAAUCUGAAGAAAGAGGUGUCCGUGGGAGAACUUCCAGCAGUGAUGAUCAUCCUGGUAUGGAGUCAGAGAAGGAUGACUUCAUGGAGGUUGACCCUCAGGGUGGGAAAAGUGAAACAAGUGUCAGUCACUCCGAAACGGAAUAUGAAGAUGAAGACGAUGGUAGGGAGACUCCAGAACCUCCUUCUCCACCCCAAAGAACUGUCAACAUGCUUCAGGGUUGUAGAAGUGUUGAUGAGUUUGAGAGACUUAACAAGAUAGAUGAAGGAACAUAUGGUGUUGUAUAUAGGGCUAGGGAUAAAAAGACCGGAGAAAUUGUAGCAUUGAAGAAGGUCAAGAUGGAGAAGGAAAAGGAGGGCUUCCCACUGACUUCUCUUAGGGAAAUAAAUAUUCUUCUUUCUUUUCACCACCCAUCCAUAGUUGAUGUUAAAGAAGUAGUGGUAGGAAGUAGCCUUGAUAGUAUUUUCAUGGUCAUGGAAUAUAUGGAGCAUGACCUUAAAGGACUAAUGGAAGCAAUGAAGCAACCUUUCAGCCAGAGUGAAGUGAAGUGCUUGAUGAUCCAGCUUUUAGAAGGUGUGAAGUAUCUUCAUGACAACUGGGUGCUUCAUAGGGAUUUAAAGACAUCAAAUCUGCUUUUAAAUAAUAGGGGUGAGCUCAAAAUUUGUGAUUUUGGCUUGGCCCGUCAGUAUGGGAGUCCUUUAAAGCCAUAUACACACCUGGUGGUUACUCUUUGGUACAGGGCACCUGAACUCCUUCUGGGGUCAAAACAGUAUUCAACAGCCAUAGACAUGUGGUCUCUAGGCUGUAUAAUGGCUGAGCUAUUAUCUAAGGAACCACUGUUUAAUGGGAGAACGGAGUUUGACCAACUUGACAAGAUUUUUCGGAUUCUAGGCACCCCUAAUGAAGCAAUAUGGCCUGGUUUCUCAAAAUUACCUGGGGUCAAGGUCAAUUUUGUCAAACACCAGUACAACCUCCUGCGGAAAAAAUUUCCUGCGACAUCAUUCACUGGAUCUCCUGUUCUUUCUGAUUCAGGAUUUGAUUUGUUGAACAAACUUCUAACAUAUGACCCUGAAAAGCGGAUCACUGCUGAAGCUGCUCUAAAUCAUGAGUGGUUUCGUGAGGUCCCUCUCCCCAAAAGUAAAGAAUUCAUGCCUACAUUUCCUGCUCAACACGCUCAGGACAGGCGUGUGCGGAGAAUAUACAAGAGUCCAGAUCCUUUAGAGGAGCAGCGCCGGAAGGAGUUGCAGCAGGGUGAAUCGGGGACUGGUGGAAUUUUUGGCUAAGAAUGGUGCUUGCUAAGGCUGUGUCUCAAUAAUCAUUCUGAAACUGCUGAAUGUUUUAGUGUUUGAGGUGAGGGUAUGCACUGAAUGGAAGUUGGAAGCAUGUUUGUUAGACGAUCACUCGUGCUGUUUUUUAACAGGAACAUUUUGGUUUAGCGAAGAUGUAUUCUUUUACCUCCCUGGCAACCAGAUUUAUUUCAGAGUUGGUUGGUGUGAAGUGCAAGAGGACCUUCUGUGCAUCUUUCCAAAGAAAUUGGGUGACGUUAUGCAUUAAAAGUAUCAAGUAUCAAAGCAAGCAGGUUGAGGAGGUUACCAGUAUAUCUUAAAGUAUAGAACUUCAAUUAGUUGUUCCUUCAGUCUCUCUAGAGCUGGGAGAUUGGGUUGCUAAGAGAUGUAAAGCAUCCACUUCCCAUUCAACACAAUUUAUUGGAUUUCAUCAUUGGAUAGCUAAUGCUGUAAGCAUAAGCUGUAUUUUGUUCUAUUUUAAUUGGUUGAAGGCAGGUUUUGGUAUGAAAUAUUAGGUUUGUGUUUAGUGUGGAUGGGUUUGUAUUUCAUAUGUUGCCAUGCCCACAAAUCAUUUUAUAUAUUGUGUAGAUCUUUUUUUAAAUAAGAUUUGGAUUAUGUCGAAGGAUUGGAAAAUGGAUUUGUGAAUUAACAGUUUUCGUGGAUCCUUGGUUGGAAUGGGAGUAAAGGUGGGGAAAAGCCCUGGAUUUCGUGGAUA